rnacentral:lncRNA from 1 species
GAACUUCUGACACUCACAGAAAUUGUGAGAAAACAAGCGUGCAAGUGAGUGAAUUGUGUCUCUCAUGGGUAGUUAGCAUCUCAAUCAAGCACUUUAACAUCUUCAAGCUAUCCAUCCACAUCCCCUUUAUAGUACAAUAUUCCUAUACUCAAAAUCAAAAUUAGAAAUUAUAGAAAAGUCUUCUUUUAAGCUCAACACCGUUCUUUAAUUGAAAUGGGGUUCUUUUCUUACACUUUUGCACUUCUUUAAAAUUUAAACAUGUCAAUCACUUGAUAAAGUCAUUAGUACCUUAAUCAUGUAUGUCAUCAACACCAAAACCCACUUAGGGGGCCAAAUGCACUUUCAAUCUCCUCCUUUUCGGUGAUUGAUGACAACACAAUUAAGUCUCUAUGAGAAAUAUAUAAACAUUUUGAAUCCAAACAUAUAGUUGAGCUCCCCUUAACAUGUGCAUGUUUCAAGAUAGAAAUGAAAAAUGGUCUCAAAUGCCAUUUGCACAUGUUAAGUGAGCUCCCUCUAUAUCCUUGCAUUCGUGGGGUGUAAAGGUGUGACAUGUAUAUCAACGUGAUGCAUAUGACAAGAUGUAACACUUUCAACAAAGUGGAAAAUCAACAAUACACCAAGCCAUGAUUAACACAAAUGAUUAGAGUUUUAGAACCACACUAACAUAGCAAAUCAAAAAUAAGUCUUACAAAGUUAAAAGGUUCACUUGGCACACCAUUCAUCACACCACACAUAGUUCUUACAUGUCCACAAGCCAUAACCUAGAAAAACUCAUAAAAGAUAACACCAUUUGGUCCAUGGUGAGCUCACUUCCCCUUUGGCAUCAAGCUCCAAAAAGGGGAGGCCCUUCUAUAGCCAUCACUCAUCAUCCUUGUAGUCAUCCUCAUCAUUGUCAUCUUCGUCCUCGUCCUCCAGAGUAUGAGCCUCGAGAAUGUCCUCUUCUUCCUCCACCUCAGACUGCUCUCGCC